UAAUUAAAAUCGAUUGUGUUGCUUUUUGUGGUAACGCUUUCGGAAUUGAAUCUUUCUUAACUACCGGUUAAGUGGUUUAAAAUUUAUUUGGGCGAUUUUUUAACGCGUACUUAAGACACGUUUUUUAUACGUUUUGAAACGCCGAACUUUAUUAGUUAUGACCUUUUUCGGUUACAUGUCUAUAACAUCAUUUCAUU
rnacentral:misc_RNA from 1 species